rnacentral:rRNA from 1 species
GACGAACCGUGCGAACGUUAUUCGGAAUCACUGGGCUUAAAGGGCGCGUAGGCGGGCGGCCAAGUCAGGGGUGAAAGCCCCCAGCUCAACUGGGGAAGUGCCUCUGAUACUGGCCAUCUCGAGGGAGGUAGGGGCGUGCGGAACUUCCGGUGGAGCGGUGAAAUGCGUAGAGAUCGGAAAGAACACCAACGGCGAAAGCACUCUGCUGGGCCGACACUGACACUGAGAGACGAAAGCUAGGGGAGCGAAUGGG